AUCCCUUCUUUAACUUGAUAUACAUUAUAUGAAUACAAUAGGUGUAUACAAAUGAUCAACAAACAGGUUUUAUACACAUUAUGCGUAUACCAAAUCAAAUUUCAUAUUUGAUAUACAUCAAACACACAUUAUUAAUUUUAAAAAAAACACCAUGUAUCUAAAAAUAAAUAAAUUAAUAUUUAUGUAUUGCAUACAUAGAAUUUGAAACUUAUGGAAUAUUUCGACACCAGUCUAUGUAUACAAAUCAACAUGUGUAUAGCCACAUUGACACCGUAUGUUACUAUAGUAAAUGUAUAUAAAUAUUCGGUUUCAGAAACAGACAAAAAAAAAAAACAAUUGUUAAUUGAAAUAUUUUAGGAGAUGAAAUAAAAGAGGGGAAAUUUGGUUGGACAGAAAAUGAAAUUCAAACUGUAUGUGAAGCUAUAUUAAUGGCAUGAUUUAUGGGUUGUGGGGUACAAAGAAAAAUA